rnacentral:misc_RNA from 1 species
GUAUUCAUUUAUUUUAAAAGGCUUUUGACGGCGCAUUUAAAGUUGACAUUCAAAGACAUGCAUUAGGGGUAUAUAUGAAAACAUAGACUAGGGGGAAUAAUACAAGGAAAGCGCGCACUAAUGCCACAUUCCUCAAACCAAGCUAAUGAAAGCUUGAAAGUGUUCCCAAAAGUCUACAAUAAGUGCACAGGUGGUUUGAUUAAAAUGAGAGCAAGCGUGCACAUGCCCCAAAGGGCCAGCGACAACUCACUUCAAUUCAAAUUCAAUAAUGAUCCUUCCGCAGGUUCACCUACGGAAA